GUUUCUUACAAUUCUCCCUUGCUCCUUCCCCCUCCCUCCCACUGCUUUCUUCCAUUUUCCUUUUGUCUAUUCUUCCAGGGCCCUCUACAGACAAAUUCUUGAAAGGGAUACACCAGCUUCAGGAAUCCAACAUGAAGGUAGCAACAGAUCCAGGCUCCUUGCUUUUCUGAUCCUGCAGCAAAAUACUACGAGGGCACAAUUUUCUCCUCCUUGGCUGGCGAGAGAGGUGAGAAAAGAACAAGACAAAGAGAACAGGUUUGUCCUCAUCUGUGACAUAACAAGUGACUUGGCACUAGUGUUGGGNAGGCAGGAAGAGGAAAGAAUUUAUACAGUUUUCAAGAUCUGUUUCAUACUAUACAGAGCAGAAAGUCUGCGCUUGCCCCUGAAAAGGGAGCU
rnacentral:lncRNA from 1 species